rnacentral:rRNA from 1 species
UACGGAGGGUGGCGAGCGUUGUCCGGAAUCAUUGGGCGUAAAAGGGCGCGUAGGUGGCGGGCCAAGUCCAUGUGAAAGCUACGGAUGACCUCGAACAUCGAGUCGGCCACGGAUACUGGUGCGCUGGAGCACUGUAGAGGCUAAUGGAAUUCCGGGUGUAGCGGUGGAAUGCGUAGAGAUCCGGAAGAACACCGGUGGCGAAGGCG